GGGAGCGCCAAGCAGGUCAGGAUUCCUGGUUUUCACCCAGGCGGCCCAGGGUUCGACUCCCGGUAUGGGAAUCUUCCCA